AUAACACCUGGAAACAGAUGCUAAUACCGGAUAACAACAGAUGAUGCCUAUCAACUGUUUAAAAGAUGGUUCUGCUAUCACUCUUGGAUGGACCUGCGGUGCAUUAGCUAGUUGGUAGGGUAACGGCCUACCAAGGCGAUGAUGCAUAGCCGAGUUGAGAGACUGAUCGGCCACAUUGGGACUGAGACACGGCCCAAACUCUACGGGAGGCAGCAGCC
rnacentral:rRNA from 1 species